rnacentral:rRNA from 1 species
UGGGGAAUCUUCCGCAAUGGACGAAAGUCUGACGGAGCAACGCCGCGUGUAUGAUGAAGGUCUUCGGAUUGUAAAGUACUGUCUUUGGGGAAGAAUGACUGGCUUGAAAAUAUUGAGUCAGUAUGACGGUACCCAAGGAGGAAGCCCCGGCUAACUACGUGCCAGCAGCCGCGGUAAUACGUAGGGGGCAAGCGUUGUCCGGAAUUAUUGGGCGUAAAGGGCGCGUAGGCGGAUUUUUAAGUCUGGUGUGAAAGAUCAGGGCUCAACCCUGAGAGUGCAUCGGAAACUGGAGAUCUUGAGGACAGGAGAGGAAAGUGGAAUUCCACGUGUAGCGGUGAAAUGCGUAGAUAUGUGGAGGAACACCAGUGGCGAAGGCGACUUUCUGGACUGUAACUGACGCUGAGGCGCGAAAGCGUGGGGAGCAAACAGG